ACUCUUUCAAUUAUUACAUAUCACAAAUGUAUAGGUUUCCUAAACCUAUUAUCCGUCUUCUCCGCCGCAUAUCUGGUUGCCUCAGCUAUUCUUCUGAUUCAGAAUUUUGAUGCUUCUUCUGUGGUUUAUCAACCAGGUGUUUUUGUCUGCAGCUGCUUUUAUGCUGAUCAACUUUCAAAAGUGUGUUCUCCGCUGGAUGGGAUGAAGCUUCUCAUUUUGUUUUGUGUUGAAGUAAACAGGACCCUGUAUUCUAUCUGAGCUUUGUUUGUCGAAGUGCUGGAGAUACUGGAAUUUUCGGAUCCACUUGCAAGUAGCCUGACCUAUUUUAUCCAGGUGUUUUACUCGCCAACAACUUCCCUGACCUUCUCUUUUUGCCGAAAAUCCUUUUUGAAGGCUGUGGUAAAUUAGGCUAAGAUCUAUCAUUCUCAAAGUAAUGUUGUGUAUUUAUGAACACUAUAGCCUGCUUAGUCCAAUGACUCUCUUGCUGCUCUUAUCCUUAUGUAAGGACACUCUAGUUUGUCACUAUUUAGUAUCUCUCUACCUUGAGACUGUAGUUGAUGAAAGUUUGUGAUUGCAAAAUCUCCUCUGUCAAUGGCAAGAUUUGUUAGAUGAUCUACCAA